rnacentral:lncRNA from 1 species
GUUCGUCGGUGUAGGAUAAUUAUUCCGUAACUAACAAGGAUGGUGGUCGCAGAUAGCCUUAUUAUCCGCGACCAAACGUUAGUCGCCAAACUUUUACCUCCACCCCGCCAACUUGGUUUUGCUUUUCCGCGACCAAAUAUCCAUUUCGUCGGUGUAGGAUAAUCAUUCGGUAACUAAUAAGGAUGUUGGUCGCAAAUAGCCUUAUUUGCCGCGACCACGAUUCAUGUAGUCGCCGAAAGUGGUCGCUGAAAGUAUAUUUUCUUGUAGUG